UCAAAUGACAACUUGAACAGGUCUUUCAUAUUUUUAUAUUCAUAAAGAAAGUUCAAAGAUCUCUAAGCUAUUUUUCAUAUUAAUAUUCUUCAAAAGUAACAGAAAUGUAGAAUUAUAUUGUAUAUCAAUGGGGGGAAAAGGCAUGCAAGGACUACUUAUGUGACCAUUAGCACUUAAACAAAACUUCAGACCAGGGCUCAUGUCAUCCAUUACGUUAAUGUCUCAGACCUGAGUCUUUAUGUUCAGUGGAUUGAAUGACAGUAGAGUUAAGAUGAUGAUAUGAUUGACAGCUGACAAUUCAGUUGGCACGAGUUUGUGAGUCUUGUCUUCGCUGGCUUUGGUAAGGAUCGUCAGUAGGCGCUACAGCAGUUAGCAUCCAUGAAUGGGGUAGGCCAAUGCUAGAGCAGGCUACAUUUGCAGUGGCUAUUUACUGUAGCGUAUAUCAUGUGGGUCAUACAUCAAAUAAUAGAUACAGCUCAUAAAGUUACCAGGCAAACAAGCCAGCAGUAUUAACUGAAAAGCCUGCCGUAAUUUAAAACAAGUGCACGAAAGGUGCAAAACUGCAAACAAUGACAUGUGGCAUCAUGAAAACUCAUCAAAAUUGCUAUUAAGCUUUAGUGGCUGAUAUUCUACACAAAACCCAUGUUCUCAUUGAGUGAAUUCCUUUUAUGUUUCCUUCCUUAACGUGAAAACAUUUUGUACUCACAUUUUCAUUGACACAUACUUCCUUGGAUUGUUUUGGAGAGUUUAAUCUGAGCGUCUGGUGUGAAGGACCAACAAACGUGGCAGUUUUUUUACUCGUCCAUAGAGUUUGCUGUUCGGGCACACCUUCCACGAAUGCCCCCUCUCCACCUCCAUGCCUCAGACUUGGGGGAUUUCUGAACAGUACGGCAGCACAAUGUUUGUAUCAGGACUCAGGAUAAGACCCAGAUGCAGAGAGUUUGAAUCACAGAUGUUUAAUAACAAAACAGGGGGCAGGCAAACUACAGGCUCAGGGCAGGCUGAGGUCAGUAAACCAGGGCAGAGUCAGUAAGGUACAGAACAGCAGGCAGGCUCAGGGCAGGCUGAGGUCAGUAAUCCAGGGCAGAGUCAGUAAGGUACAGAACAGCAGGCAGGCUCAGGGCAGGCAGAGGUCAGUAAACCAGGGCAGAGUCAGUAAGGUACAGAACAGCAGGCAGGCUCAGGGCAGGCUGAGGUCAGUAAUCCAGGGCAGAGUCAGUAAGGUACAGAACAGCAGGCAGGCUCAGGGCAGGCUGAGGUCAGUAAUCCAGGGCAGAGUCAGUAAGGUACAGAACAGCAGGCAGGCUCAGGGCAGGCUGAGGUCAGUAAACCAGGGCAGAGUCAGUAAGGUACAGAACAGCAGGCAGGCUCAGGGUAGGCAGAGGUCAGUAAACCAGGGCAGAGUCAGUAAGGUACAGAACAGCAGGCAGGCUCAGGGCAGGCUGAGGUCAGUAAUCCAGGGCAGAGUCAGUAAGGUACAGAACAGCAGGCAGGCUCAGGGCAGGCUGAGGUCAGUAAUCCAGGGCAGAGUCAGUAAGGUACAGAACAGCAGGCAGGCUCAGGGCAGGCUGAGGUCAGUAAUCCAGGGCAGAGUCAGUAAGGUACAGAACAGCAGGCAGGCUCAGGGCAGGCUGAGGUCAGUAAACCAGGGCAGAGUCAGUAAGGUACAGAACGGCAGGCAGGGUCAGGGCUGGCAGAAUGAUCAAAACCGGAAGAACUAGAAAACAGGGACGAGAGAGAACAGGAGUACGUGACAAAACACGCUGGUAGGCUGGACGAGACAAGACGAACGAACUGGCAACAGACAAACAGAAAGCACAGGGGAAAAUGGGCGACACCCGGUGGAGGGGUGAAGACAAGCACACGACAGGUGAAACAGAUCACGGUUGUGACAGUUUGAAGUUUUCAUUUUGCCUUUAAUCUAAACCUUUGCCUUUAAAUAGGGGGUCCAAAUUCAUCAUACGGUACGUGACUGUGUGGUUGAAUGGGUAAAAUUCCAAAGAAAUUGGAGGUUCGGGGGUUCAAUUGCUUCUUCUGCCUUUCCAACUUUCACUCCAUAAUAACGAUGGAAUUUCGCCUCCUCCAAAAUCUCCCUAGGCCCUAUUCAGACUUGAGAUAAGUUGAUUUAACAUGACUUGAAUCCAUGUUUUAUUGAGUCCAUGCUAGGUCUACUUAUCUCAAGUCUGAAUCGGGCCACAUGUGCUCAGUAUAACAAGGGCGGUUGAGCACAACCGUUUAGUCGGUUGUUACUGACAUUACUCUCAGUUGGCUGAGGUCAUUAAGGCAGUGUUUUGACAAGCAGGACCCGGGUUCACAUCCACCUCACAUGAAUCCCAGUGAUGAAGGACCAUUUUACACAUUACCUCAUGGUACCUCUGCUAUAACUUAGAUUGCCCUAAACAUUUUGAUUGUAACAAUAUUUAUCAUCAUCUUACAAUGGGUCCUGGCAAACGUAGCCCAUAAUUAGUGCCACGGUCUAUCCUAGAAUAGGUAUUCAAUUCCCAGUGUCUUCUUUAAAAUGUUGAUUAAAAUAUUGACUGAAAAUCAUCAUUUAUCAAUAUUUAUGCCAUAAACCAUUUGCAAUUUAAAACCAUCAGAUUGGAUGCGAGACAAUCUGCCAAAACAUACUUUUUAUGUGUUGAUGCUGACUUUUUUAGUCUCUCUAUUUUGUUAACAGUGUACUACAGAGAAUAUGCUCUGGAAAAGAGACUAUGAAUGCCACGGUUCUGUUAUAGGUGACAGCGCCCACAGGCUCUGCUGCCAUGUCGUUCUCGUUGUUGUCUGUUUGUUUUCACCGAAUAUCAGCAAUGUGUUGUUGUCGGCUGACCUUUUCAAAGGGCAUUGAGGAUUCGUUCCACGACACAGAAGUAAGAUAAGGAAGUCAUUUAAGGGAUGAUGCCCGAGAAGCUGGCGUUUGGAGGAUAUAAUGGCACGGGUGUUGUUAGGCCCGAGACAAAGUGGUUCCAAGUAGAACUAUUUGGGGUUCCAGGUGGAACCCUCCGUAGAGAAGGGUUCUACCUGCAACCACAAAGGGUUCUUCAAGGGGUUAUCCUAUGGGGAUAGCCAAAGAACCCUUUAAGGUUCCAGAUAGCACCAAGUUACUGUGUAGUACACCACACGAUUUGAAGGGGGAGAAUUUCCCCCUAAUCUAAAUAGACACCUUUCCUGACCAACUGAUACAGCAUAGCUCACCAAAGUUCAUAUUAUGAAUAAUUUCAAUGUUUGAUUUUGUUGUCUCUGUAACGAGUGCGCUGAGAGUCGGGAAGCAAGUACAGGGAGUGUUUUAAUAAGUAAACAAACAAAACAAUUAACACGAAACACAAACAACACAUGAAACAGAGUCAAUAACACCCGAGGAAAGAACCAAAGGG